rnacentral:rRNA from 1 species
GACGAACGCUGGCGGCGUGCUUAACACAUGCAAGUCGAACGGAAAGGCCUGCUUUCCCUUGUGGAUUGCGGGUACUCGAGUGGCGAACGGGUGAGUAACACGUGAGUGAUCUGCCCCCAACUUGGGUAUAAGCCUGGGAAACUGGGUCUAAUUCCCGAUAGGACUGCAGGGUGGUGCCUGUGGUGGAAAACGAUUUUCUAGUGGUUGGGGAUGAGCUCGCGGCCUAUCAGCUUGUUGGUGGGGUAAUGGCCUACCAAGGCGGCGACGGGUAGCCGGCCUGAGAGGGUGGACGGCCACAUUGGGACUGAGAUACGGCCCUGACUCCUACGGGAGGCAGCAGUGGGGAAUAUUGCACAAUGGGCGGAAGCCUGAUGCAGCGACGCCGCGUGGGGGAUGACGGCCUUCGGGUUGUAAACUCCUUUCGACCGCGAGGAAGCCACCUGGUUGGAAGGGUGGUGACGGUAGUGGUAGAAGAAGCACCGGCUAACUACGUG